rnacentral:rRNA from 1 species
GUUUGGAAGGGCAGAUUGUCUAACUUUCUCUGUGGAGGUAUCAAUUGGAGGGCAAGGUCCCGUCAGCCAGCAGCCCGCGGUAAUUCCAGCUCCAAUAACGUAUAUUAAAGUUUGUGGCGGAUAAAAAGCUCGUAGUUGGACUCCUGUCUGAAGCAAACCGGUCCGCCCUCUGGGUGAGCAUCUGGUUUUGCUUUGCCAUAUGCUUAAACCUUGCAACUGCACUUGACUGUGUGGUGGAAAGGGCUAAGCCUUUUACUUUGAAGAAAUCAGAGUGUUUCAAGCAGGGCCAUCGCCUUGAAUACACUAGCAUAGAAAUAAUAUGAUAUGACUGUGGUUUUAUUUUGUUGGCUUUUAGAAUUAGAGUAAUGGUUAAUACUGGAUAGUUGCGGGCGCAUUCAUAUUUAUCUGUCAGAGGUGAAAUUCUUGGAUUUGUUAAGGAUGAACGACUGCGAAAGCAUCUGCCAAGGAGUGUUUUCAUUGAUCAAGAACGAAAGUUAGGGGAUCGAAGACGAUCAGAUACCGUCCUAGUUCUAACCAUAAACCAUGCCAACUAGAGAUCAGAGAUUGUUAUGUGCAUGACUCCGUCAGCACCUUACGAGAAAUCAAAGUCUUUGGGUUCCGGGGGGAGUAUGGUCGCAAGGCUGAAACUUAAAGGAAUUGACGGAAGGGCACCACCAGGAGUGGAGCCUGCGGCUUAAUUUGACUCAACACGGGGAAACUUACCAGGUCCAGACAUAGUAAGGAUUGACAGAUUGAUAGCUCUUUCUUGAUUCUAUGGGUGGUGGUGCAUGGCCGUUCUUAGUUGGUGGAGUGAUUUGUCUGGUUAAUUCCGUUAACGAACGAGACCUUAACCUGCUAAAUAGUUACACUUAUCUUCGGUUAUGUGGGCAACUUCUUAGAGGGACUUUGUGUGUUUAACGCAAGGAAGUUUGAGGCAAUAACAGGUCUGAGAUCCCCUUAGAGGUUGGGGGCCGCACGCGCGCUACAGUGAUGCGGUCAAGGAGUCUUUAACCUGUCGAGGGAAGGGUUGGUAAUCUUGUCAAAGCGCAUCGAGAUGGGGAUAGAUUAUUGCAAUUAUUAAUCUUCAACGAGGAAUUCAUAGUAAGCGUGAGUCAUCAGCUCAUGUUGAUUACGUCCCUGCCCUUUGUACACCCCGCCCGUCGCUCCUACCGAUGAGUGAUCCGGUGAAUAAUUUGGCCCGCUGCAGUGCUCAGUUUCUGACAUUGCGGCGAGAAAUUUCCGAACUGAUGCAGCUUCGAG